rnacentral:lncRNA from 13 species
UGUGUGUGCAUUCCUUAUCAGUGUAGAAUCUUAAUUAAUUAAUACAAUGCAGAAAGUCUCACUAGGACCCAUUCCAUGGAGAAGAUCAUUCUGGAGGUGGCACCAGACUGCUUAACAAUGUAGAAGCAAGCAGCAGAAUAGGAAGGAGACCAGGAGGCAACACUUUCUGAGGGCCUUGCUUCAUGUCUGAAGCCGCCAAUGAACAAAGCUCUAUUUUAUCAACUUGGAAGUGAAAUCUCAGAAAGAUCAAGUGUGUGUCAGAGAGCAAACCAGCCCUUCGUUUUCUUAGAAGUACUCUCGGAGCCUGCACGGUUCUAACAUGAGCCUCCUUGUGCGGUACGUUACGAAAUGCUGUCGGAACAAUGACUCCUCGAGAAGUCCAGUGAACUGGCAGAAACCCCCAACCAAAAAGAUGAUCAACUCAGAUACUGCUGCAGUGCAAAGGGAUAGAGAAGGAGAAAGUGAACCUGCCAAGCUUCGACGGGCCUUUUGACAAGCUAUGAAACCUCUAGGAACCAUAUGGAAUACCUACAGUGCUUUGUGGACAUCACGAUUUCUUUUUUCAGUUACCCCCAGUUUGCC